GGUCAUCUUCAAAACCUCUCGUUUCCUCUUUUCAUUCUUCUUAAUCGUCUGAUUACUAAAGGUUGAGGAUGGGGUUUGGGGUUAACCUCUCUAUAAAGCGCCGAAGGCCUUUUCUUUUCCCCCGACUUUCUCCUUCUUGCGACUUCAGACUUCACGCGACCGAGACCGGCGAUUUCUUCUUCUCUUGGUGGCGCCGGCGCCGGCGAAGAGCGGAUCUUGGAGGGUUGAGAGGAAGAGAGGUUAGCCGAACCUUCUUUCUCCCCGAUCCCUUCCUCCCUUCUCUGAUCUCGAUGAACAACGGCGACGGAUCUCGAUCGGUGGAUUUCGCCGGCUGUCGGGAGGGAACCAAGGGCAUCGGCGUUGGAUCAGGCCAGCAUCGAUUGUUUGGAGGAGUGUUGAUUCAGGUGGUUCUUUUUGGGAAGCAGAGACUGGUAUUUUGGUCCCGGCCACCACAGCUCUGUUGGAUGAUCGUCUCCGGUGAUUGAAGGGUGCAGAGAGGAUGCGAUGUGCUUAUUUUAGAUAUUGGAUUGGGAAGUGCAGAGAAUCAAGCAAGGGUCAAGGAGUUGCUUCAUGUGGAGGAAUCAAAACUAGAGGAGGAUGAGGGAAAUACCACUCCAGCAGUGAGAUGGGUUCAAGAUGAUAAAUAUGAUUGCAUCCGAUUAAAGCAUUGCAAGGUUGUGACAAAAAUUGAUUGGCAUCGGAAAGGAGACUAUUUCACUACUGUCGUUCGUAGUGAUAUCCUAAUUAUGAAUUUUAGUUGUACUUAUUUUUAGUCAUUCCUAGUGCCUAUUUUAUAUCUCAGUUUUGUUUCUUUCUUUUUUCUAAUACACACUGACAAAUUGGAAAUAUAUAAAAAUCAUGACAUUAUACCUAGUUACCUAGCCUUUGAGGCUGGAAUCAGGAUGAAACCUAAAGUGCCCUGAAAAGUUUAGGCAUACCAAAUUCUCUCAGUUUAAUGACAGAGGUGUUUUAGAUUGUAAAUUUCAUCCGAGGCAGCCAUGGCUAUUCACAGCUGGAGCAGAUUCUGUCAUUAAACUGUAUUGCCACUAAUGAUAGAUUCUCCAGGAAACUUUGAAGAAUCUCCUCGAGUCAAGAUACGUGAGUACUUGCUGAUCCUACAUGACUACGGUAGCAAGUUCAUGUUCUUUGCUGAAGCUGCAACCUAUUUAUGAGGUCGUUCUAUAUGGCACCGACACCUAGAGCAAGUUCGUGUUCUUUGCUAAAAUUGCAAUCUAUUUACAAGGUCUUUAGAUAGAUGUGGAUAUUGGUUCUUCGACAGUGGCUAAUGGAGUGUUAGGGCUCGUCUUUGGUGUAAUCACAUCCUUGGUGGUUGAUAUGGCAUUUCUAAUACAGGCUAUUGGUAGCGAUGAGCUUCCAGAAUGGCUCAUUGGCGCUGUUCGAAUUGCACAUAUCGAACUCUCUUCUGCAGUCUUGGCAGAUAUUCCAGAUACUCCAUCAGAAUGACUGCUUCAACUUAUGCUGCAUCCAUUCAUGCAUCAUGUUCUUUCUUGCAACUUCACCUGCUAUUGACAUCCAGAAUAGGAACUGCAGGAAGCUUGUUCAUUUACACAUCAAUACUCGAAACUUCGCCUGUAUUCUUAGACAUGUCUAUCCACUCUUUAACCUCAUUUUUGAGUUUUACUAGGCUAAGAUUGUUUAUCAUGUUGAGCAUGCACUUGUUACCUAUACCUUUUUGGUGUUUUUGAGAAUUUGUAAGGAUUAAGAAAUCAAACAGAUAGCAAAUGAAUGUAUUGUCUAGAAAGUGAAGUCUUUCAUUCCACUUACAAUAUUACCUCACUCUCUAUCCCCUAAAGUCAUCAAAGUUGCAUAAUGCACAAGCAUUGUCAAGCCUUGGCAACAUAUAUAUACAUGGAUUGUAAUAUGAUGAGUGUUGCUGCAUCAUUCUAUAAGACAAUUUUAGCAAUUACAACAGGGAUAUCUGUGCCCUUCAACAACUUGGCUAUUAUAUACAAGCAACAGCUUCAAGAUAUCAAACUCUACACCUUCUAUAUGGAGCUAGAUUUGCAAAAGUCAUAUCCAACUCGAGGAAGUGACUUAUUGACAUGGGAGAGAACUUAUUGGUAACCAAGGACUUUGUGAAGAUAGCAAAUUUUGGCCUUGCUCGUGAAGUUCAUUCGAAGCCACCAUUCACAGAAUAGGUUUCAACACGCUGUUUACAAAUCUCAAGUACUUCAGAGUUGAAAUUGAUGAAGUGCAGUUCGAGUCGGCUG